UACGUAGGGACCGAGCGUUGUCCGGAUUCAUUGGGCGUAAAGGGUGUGUAGGAGGUUGGGUAAGUCGGAUGUGAAAUCUCACCGCUUAACGGUGAAAUGGCAUUCGAUACUGCUCAGCUAGAGGACCGGAGGGGGGAUCGGAAUUCUUGGUGUAGCAGUGAAAUUCGUAGAUAUUCGGAAGAACACCAGUGGCGAAGGCGGCUCACUGGCCCGUUACCGACGCUCAGGCGCGACAGCGUGGGGAGCAAACAGG
rnacentral:rRNA from 1 species